GGCUAAGUUACAAAGGGUGCAUGGUGGAUGUUCUGGCAUUGGUAGCCGAUGAAAGACGUGGAAGACUGCGAUAAGCCUCGGAUAGGCGUCAACAGCCAUUGACCCGGGGAUUUCUGAAUGGGGCAACCCGUCGGGCGAAGGCCCGUCACCCCUGACUGAAUACAUAGGUUAGGGGAGGAAACGUUGGGAAGUGAAACAUCUCAGUACCUUCAGGAAAAGAAAGAAAAAUCGAUUCCCUCAGUAGCGGCGAGCGAAGCGGGAAGAGCCCAAACCAUCGUAACGUGAUAGGUUACAGCCGUUUUUACGGUGGUGUUGUAGGACCUUGCAUUGUGGGGCUGUAAUCCCACAGAGGAGUUAUAAAUCUUUUGUUUAGUCGAACGGAUCGGACAGUCCGGCCAAAGUAGGUGAUAGCCCUGUAGGCGAAAAACAAGAGACUUCUAGCGAGGCACCUGAGUAGCAUCGGACACGUGGAACCCGGUGUGAAUCCAGGGGGCCCACCCCCUAAGGCUAAAUACUCAUCAAUGACCGGUAGCGAACAAGUAGCGUGAGUGGACAAUGAAAAGAACCCCUAGCAGGGGAGUGAAAGAGUACCUGAAACCAUGUAUCUACAAGCGGUCGAAGAGCUAUGGACCUUUCGGGGUCAAUGCUCGACGGCGUGCCUUUUGCAUAAUGAGUCUGCGAGUUGCUUUAUGCGGCAAGGCUAAGUGCUUCCAGCACGGAGCCGUAGGGAAACCGAGUGUUAAUAGCGCGUCAAGUCGUAUGGAGCAGACCCGAAGCUGAAGUGAUCUAUCCGUGUCCAGGUUGAAGCAGGUCUAAACGCCUGUGGAGGACCGAACCCACUAAGGCUGAAAACUUAGGGGAUGAGGUGCGGAUUGGAGUAAAAGGCUAAUCAAACACAGUGAUAUCUGGUUCUCCCCGAAAUAUAUUUAGGUAUAGCCUAUUGUAAUUGUACCGUGGGGGUAAAGCACUGAAUGAUUGCGGGGGCUUACCGGCCUACCAAAAUCAAUCAAACUCUGAAUACCACGGUAUUUAUCAAUGGAGUCAGACCUUGGGGGAUAAGCUUCAAGGUCAAGAGGGAAACAGCCCAGACCAGCAGCUAAGGUCCCAAAGUGCGGCUAAGUGCAUAAGGAUCUGGAGAUACUAAGACAGCCAGGAUGUUGGCUUAGAAGCAGCCACCAUUUAAAAAGUGCGUAAUAGCUUACUGGUCGAGUAUCUUUGGGCCGACAAUACGCGGGACUAAGCCGUACACCGAAGCUCUGGAUGACAGCGUAAGCUGUCGUGGUAGGGGAGCGUUCUACGCUAGGUUGAAGGCGUACCGUAAGGAGCGCUGGACGAUGUAGAAGUGAGUAUGCAGACAUAAGUAGCGAUAAAGGGGGCGAGAAUCCCCCUCACCGUAAGCCUAAGGUUUCCUGGGGAAGGCAAAUCCGCCCAGGGUGAGUCGGGACCUAAGGCGAGGCCGAGAGGCGUAGUCGAAGGACAACAGGUUAAUAUUCCUGUACCGCUGAGUAUUCGUUAUGACCGAUGGGGAGACGCAGGAAGCUAGGCCAUCAGGGUGUUAGAUUACCCUGUUCAAGCGUAUAGACGGGUCACCAGGUAAAUCCGGGGGCUAUAACGUCGAGGCGUGAUGAGGAGGCUUUAUGCCGAACUGGUUGAUGCUCUGCUGCCAAGAAAAUCCUCUAGGCAGAAGAUUCAGCGCCCGUACUAAAACUGACACAGGUAGGCGAGGCGAAAAGCCUCAGGUGCUCGAGAAAACUCUCGUUAAGGAACUCGGCAAAUUGGCCCCGUAACUUCGGAAUAAGGGGUACCUUAUUGGUGAGAUCCUUUACGGAUUAAGCUGAUUAAGGUCACAGUAAAUAGGUGGUAGCGACUGUUUAGCAAAAACACAGGUCUGUGCUAAGAUGCAAAUCGAUGUAUACAGACUGACGCCUGCCCAAUGCUGGAAGGUCAAGGGGAAUGGUUAGGGACUUGUCUCGAAGCUAUGAACUUAAGCCCCAGUGAAUGGCGGCCGUAACUAUGACGGUCCUAAGGUAGCGAAAUUCCUUGUCGGGUAAGUUCCGACCUGCAUGAAUGGCGUAACGACUUCCACGCUGUCUCGACGAGAGGCUCGGCGAAAUUGUAGUAGUGGUGAAGAUGCCACUUACCCGCACCUAGACGGAAAGACCCCGUGAACCUUUACUGUAACCUGAUAUUGUGUGUUUGUAUAAGCUGUGUAGCAUAGGUGGGAGACGGUGAAAUGAGGGCGCUAGCCCUUUUAGAGUCAUCAGUGAAAUACCACUCUGCUUAUAUGGGCAUUCUAACCUGGUCCCGUGAAUCCGGGCCGGGGACAGUUUUUGGCGGGCAGUUUAACUGGGGCGGUUUCCUCCUAAAGAGUAACGGAGGAGUGCAAAGGUUCCCUCAAUGCGGUUGGUGAUCGCAUGUUGAGUGCAAGAGCAUAAGGGAGCUUGACUGAAAGACUUAUAAGUCGAUCAGGUACGAAAGUAGGCUUUAGUGAUCCGGUGAUCCCGAGUGGAAGGGUCAUCGCUCAACAGAUAAAAGGUACUCCGGGGAUAACAGGCUUAUCUCUCCCAAGAGUCCAUAUCGACGGGGAGGUUUGGCACCUCGAUGUCGGCUCAUCGCAUCCUGGGGCUGUAGUCGGUCCCAAGGGUUGGGCUGUUCGCCCAUUAAAGCGGUACGCGAGCUGGGUUCAGACCGUCGUGAGACAGGUUGGUCCCUAUCUGGUGUGGGUGUAGGAUAUUUGAGGAGAUAUGGUCCUAGUACGAGAGGAUUGGACUGUACCAGCCGCUGGUGUUCCUGUUGUGGCGCUAGCUGCAGCGCAGGGUAGCUAUGCUGGGAUCGGAUAAACGCUGAAAGCAUCUAAGCGUGAAGCCGACUCCAAAACAAGAUAUCCCUAUCAGGCUCCUGGAAGACCACCAGGUCGAUAGGCCGGAUGUGUAAGGGCAGUAAUGCCUUCAGCUAACCGGUACUAAUAAGCCGAUCGACUUAGCCAC
rnacentral:rRNA from 1 species